rnacentral:rRNA from 1 species
CAGCCGCCGCGGUAAUACGAAGGGUGCAAGCGUUACUCGGAAUUACUGGGCGUAAAGCGUGCGUAGGUGGUGGUUUAAGUCCGUUGUGAAAGCCCUGGGCUCAACCUGGGAAUUGCAGUGGAUACUGGGUCACUAGAGUGUGGUAGAGGAUAGUGGAAUUUCCGGUGUAGCAGUGAAAUGCGUAGAGAUCGGAAGGAACAUCUGUGGCGAAGGCGACUACCUGGGCCAACACUGACACUGAGGCACGAAAGCGUGGGGAGCAAACAGGAUUAGAUACCCCUGUAGUCCCUGUCUCUUAUAC